CUCGAUUCGCUUACGGAAGCCUCAACAAAACUCGGCAAUCUAAUUUGCUGGUAAUUUACGUGCCGAUAUCUUCAAUCAUUGUUGUCAUAAGAAUACAUUCUUCGGCGAAUGUACGCCCCGAUUAUAAUCCGAGAAUGAAUAAACCGAUCGUGUUAACCUUACUUCGAUCGAAAUAGUUUCUGUUGUUGAACUUGUUGAAGACACAGAUGAAAAUAAAUGUUUUCCGAGGGGAAAGAAAUUGAUGGCCGAGAUUAAUCGAGUAACUUCGGAUCGUCAGAGCAAAGUACUGCGUUUAAUGAACUAAAAUUGCAGAAUAAGUAAAAGUUAGAUUACGAGAAGGAGUUAAAGCAGUGUGGAAUAUUUACCUUGUUUGUAGUUAUGCGCACGCGCCAAAACAAGUAUAAAUAAAGAGAGCAAAUAAUGAGAAAAGGAUAGACAUAGAUUAAAAAUUGUGAAAUCAGCGCCAUCUUCAGAGUGCCGCAAAUGAAACACAACAUAAACAAAGAGAGCAAAUAAUAGAAGAAGACAGAAAUAAAGGAAAAGUAACUAAUAACGCCAUCUCUUUAUUUCUGAAAGAAAUAUCUUUUUUUCAAAAUAAUCAAGAGAUGGCACUGAUAUUCAAUUCGUAUUCUGUCUUAUCCUAUCUUUAAAGAGAUAUUUUUAAUAUUCGAAAGAUGACAUUGAUCUUCAAUUCUUUUUCUACUUUAUCCUAUCUUUGAAGAGAUGCUUUUGGUAUUCGAAAGAUAGCGCUGAUUUCUUAAUUUUUAUCCUAUCUCUCACUACUCUCCUUGUUUAUAUUUGUUAUUACAAAAUUCAUGCGUUCAAAAAUCGAUUUAUAUAAUUAUUUUUAUUAUUUUCUUAUAUUAUUUUUUUUCGUAAUAUAAAAUGUACAAACAUUUUACAAGAAUUAUUUAGAAUUAAUUUUUUCAUUUAAUUGAAUUAUAAAUAAAAUAAUGUUGAUAAAAUUAAAAUAUGACUGAUAUCGUUUUUUUAGUUUUUAAAUAGCAAAAAUAUCAUAUAUUUUAUAUGCCACAGUUGUGCUACUAUAAUCUAAUUAUAUUUUUUUUACGAAAGAAAUACUCUAUCAUACUAAAAUUUUAAAAUUUUUCUAAAUGUCAAUUGAUAUACUAUAAUAUUGUUUAUAUAAUGCAAUAAAAUUAUUAAUAAAAAUUCAUGUAUCUAACUUUAAAAAGAAAAAUAUAUUCUAAUAAGUAAAAAUCUAUAUUAUCGAUCAUUAGUUUUCUUUCUUUAUUUAAAAAAAUUUAUUAUUUUUGUAAUAUUUUUUAUAUACAGAAAUAAAAUAUAAUUCUAUUUAUUUAGGAUAAAUAUAAUUUUAUCGCUAAAUAUUGUUUCUUAUUUUUUAUUAAUCUUCAUAAAAUAAAUAAUUUAUGUUUAUUUUAAAGUAGUAAUUGGUCCUAAUAUUACCAGAACACAUCUUAUAAUAAAAAUUUAAAAAUUAUAUAACAAAUAAAGAUUUACGAUUUAUUAUAUCUUCGUAUAUAGAUUUAAACAAAUACGACUUGAAAAGAAGUUAAAUAUUUGUUUAUACAAUAUGAAUAAAUACUUGAUACUUGCAAAGGCGAAUACAAAUUACGCCAAACAUAUGAAUCGUUUGAGUAAUCGAAUAUUCGGAGAAGUAACAAGAACAGUUAAUUCAAAAUCUAUGAAAGUAGUUAAAUUAUUUAGUGAAAAACCAUUACAAAAACGAUCAGAAAUUGUUGAUUAUUAUCCACGUCAUUAUGAAACUACUGAAUUAAUGAAACAUCUUAGAAAUUAUGGAUUAUUCAGAAACGAACAUCAAGAUUUUAAGGAAGAAUAUGAUCGUUUAAGAGAAUUUCGUGGAAAAAAGAAAUGGAUUCCACCACCUUUUAGAAAAGAAUAAUUUAUAAAAUUUGCAUAUAUUCAGUGUAUUAAUAAAAUUAUUUUAUAUAAAAUAUAUAAAUAAAUUCAAAUGCCA